AACCCGGCAAAGGACUCCUAAACCUUGGAGGAAAUGGUGCUCUCCUAUCUUUUGAUUAGAAAAGCAGCAUAUACCAAGCGUAGCAGUUGUUUAUUAAUAACACAUGACUCAGCUAAGUAGUAACACAAUGUAUAGUAUAUAGACUCUUUAACAUGUGCCCGAAAGUCAGAAGGAGAAGUGUUGGUUGCUUUGAAUGAAAACUUUAGUAAACGAGUAAAUUUAAUUAUUUUAAGGUAGCAAAAUUCCAACUCCCAAAAUAGUGAUUUGUGAACGGCAUGCAAAGCUCAA
rnacentral:rRNA from 1 species